UAAACUGAGAACUAAAAGGAAAUUCUCAAUCUCUCCUUGUUGUAUAGCUGAGCUUUUCAAACAGUUUUAACAGUUACUUUAGUCUGACAAAAGCCGAAUGACGAAUUAGCGCUUCCAGUCAGAGACUGAGGCUACACUUGCUUUCGGCACAAUUUACAGUGCACGCUACUCUGUUUUUUGUCAGACUUGAAAUAGCCGAAAUACCUUCACACUACGGAACUUCUAUGGCUCUUCCGUUCGACAAUCUCUCCGGCAUUGGAACCAUCAUCUGUUUUCUCUUUGGUCACGCUCGGUUGAUUUUUCUAGUCGGCACACUCAUUUCCUCCAUUACGCGCUGGCUGCUUCCCAAACAAACACACGUGCGGCUUGGCACUUGUGCUGUACGUAACAAGUCACGUGACGUGACGCUGCGGCUGUGAUUGGUUCGGCUCUGCGCUACUUAAUUUGGAUUGGCUGACCUGUUUUUUUUUUUUUUUUUUUUUUUUAAGAGGACAAGAGCGGCGAAGUCUAUCGCGAUAGUUUAAUUUCUCUAUCGAGUAAAAGUUAUAUCGCGAUACAUAUCGUUAUCGUUCUAUCGCCCAGCUCUAGCUCCUGCAGAUGUUUCAUAAUAGAAGCAUUAUUAAGAAAUGAAAUGUUUUCUGUCUAGGGAAGUGAUAGAGGGCUUUUAAUGAGUCUACAGUUUAUAGUGCAGGAACUUUAACAAAAAGUAAUACAAUAGUACAAGUAGUGCUUUUAGAAAUGAAGUCUCUCACUCUGAAUGUCCCUGUUGGACAUUCAGAGUGAGAGACCCCCGUCUGUAUCACCGUGUCAUCUAUUUGGACUAAGACUCCUAUUAAAGCACAUGUCAGUGAAAGGAGCUCCUUUCAUGCACUACAGUCUGACCCAGGUGAGUAUCUGUGACAUAGCUACAGAAUAAAUAUUUACAUACAAUUUCCUAGAAAUAAUUCAUUAAUCAUUUGGACUAGAAGUACUUUGAUGAAACUCCCCUAACCUGUCACAUUGGUUUGCCCCAAACCGUUGGCUGUCAGGCAGGUGAUUGAGUACCAGCACUCACUGGUACUCAAUCACCAAUUCUGCCAAAAACUGAUUGCGGCUUCUACCUUGUUACACGAAUGUUGUUUGUGGCUCAAGAUGACUUUAUGUCAUCCAUAAGGGAUGCAUUUGACAUAUGUUUCACAUAUUAUAGGACAAAACUUACUUAUAGCAGUUUAAAUACGAACAAUCAGUUUUUGGCAGACAAUCACUUUUUGGCACAACACCUGUUGUGCGAUCUAACAUUACAACCGACCGCACAGCAAGUACAAACCAUGGCUGAUGUGGGUGCUUUCACUUGAGCUUAGUUUGGCCCAGGAAGAUGGCGCCUCAACCAGAAAUCCUGGCCACGCCCCCUCUCGUGACAUCAUGCUCAUCUACCAGUUGGAAGGUUGGUGAACUGAUCUGUGGCUCCUCCAGUCUGCACGUCAAAGUAUCCUUAGAUACUGAAUAAAUGAAUAAUAAAUUAACUGAAUAAUAAAUAAGUCUCAGUGUGUGUUUGGGUGAACUUGUAGGAGGAAGUGUUUUGAGUGCUCAACUUUAGCAGACAGGUGCUAUAUAAUUACCAGUCCAUUCCAUCCAUCCACCCAUCCAGGGCCGCGGGGGCAGCAGCCUAAAUCUAAGCAGAUAAGCCCAGACCUCCCUGUCCCCAGCCACCUCGGCCAACUUGUCUGGGGGAACACAAAGGUGUUCCCAGGCCCAUGUCCUGGGUCUGCCCCGGGGCCUCCUCCAGUGGUGGGACAUGCCCAGACUCACCCAGGAUGCAUCCUUGUCAGAUGCCCAAACCACUUCAACUGGUUCCUUUCGAUGUGGAGGGGCAGCGGCUCUACUCUGAGCCCCUCUCAGAUGGCUGAUCUUAUCCUAUCUCUAAGCGAGAGGCCAGCCACUCGGAGGAGGAAGCCCAUUUCUGCUGCUUGUAUCCGCGAUCUCAUUCUUUCAGUCACUACCCACAGCUCAUGACCACAGGUGAGGGUAGGGACGUAGACUGACCGGUAAAUUGAGAGCUUCGCUUAGACCAUUUCUGAAAUAGUGUGUAGCCAGCAUCUACAGAACUUUGGAAGGCCCUGAAAGAAACCCAGAGGAUUAUUCCUAAAUAAAGGUGGCCAUACCGAGAUGGUCUUUUUAGGAUUGUUGUUGCCUUAGAAACUGCAUUUCCAUGUAGGUUUGCACACUCGAAUAAAUCACUGAAAUGAGGGGUAACUCAAAACUUUUGCAAAGUGUUGUACUAUGAUGAGAUUCUAAAAAAAAUAAAACAUCUCAUUCGCUUAAUAAAGUGAUGGUAAUAUAGCUUUAGGUUUGUAGUUUUGUUUUAAAGGCAAAAAAUGCUAAAUUGAAACAUAGCAAUUGUUUAAAGCCUAACUUGUGUCUUCUCAGCCAUCACGGCAGACGGACGUCCCUCCCUGAGCCUGGUUCUGACAAACGUUUCUUCCUGUUAAAUGUGAGUUUUUCUUUCCCUCUGUCGCCAUGUGCUUACUCAUAGGAAGUCAUCCAAUUGUUGGGAAAUAUCUCUGUAUUAUUGUAGGGUCUUUACCUUACAAUAUAAAGCACAUUGAGGCAACUGUUGUUGUGAUUUGGUGCUAUACAAAUGUUAUAUAAAGAAAAGCUUGAAUUGAA
ensembl:lncRNA